rnacentral:rRNA from 1 species
GAGUUUGAUCCUGGCUCAGAUUGAACGCUGGCGGCAGGCCUAACACAUGCAAGUCGAACGGUAACAGGAAGCAGCUUGCUGCUUCGCUGACGAGUGGCGGACGGGUGAGUAAUGUCUGGGAAGCUGCCUGAUGGAGGGGGAUAACUACUGGAAACGGUAGCUAAUACCGCAUAAUGUCGCAAGACCAAAGAGGGGGACCUUCGGGCCUCUUGCCAUCGGAUGUGCCCAGAUGGGAUUAGCUUGUUGGUGGGGUAACGGCUCACCAAGGCGACGAUCCCUAGCUGGUCUGAGAGGAUGACCAGCCACACUGGAACUGAGACACGGUCCAGACUCCUACGGGAGGCAGCAGUGGGGAAUAUUGCACAAUGGGCGCAAGCCUGAUGCAGCCAUGCCGCGUGUAUGAAGAAGGCCUUCGGGUUGUAAAGUACUUUCAGCGGGGAGGAAGGGAGUAAAGUUAAUACGUUUGCUCAUUGACGUUACCCGCAGAAGAAGCACCGGCUAACUCCGUGCCAGCAGCCGCGGUAAUACGGAGGGUGCAAGCGUUAAUCGGAAUUACUGGGCGUAAAGCGCACGCAGGCGGUUUGUUAAGUCAGAUGUGAAAUCCCCGGGCUCAACCUGGGAACUGCAUCUGAUACUGGCAAGCUUGAGUCUCGUAGAGGGGGGUAGAAUUCCAGGUGUAGCGGUGAAAUGCGUAGA